rnacentral:rRNA from 1 species
UACAGAGGGUGCAAGCGUUAAUCGGAAUUACUGGGCGUAAAGCGCGCGUGGGUGGUUCGUUAAGUUGGAUGUGAAAUCCCCGGGCUCAACCUGGGAACUGCAUUCAAAACUGUCGAGCUAGAGUAUGGUAGAGGGUGGUGGAAUUUCCUGUGUAGCGGUGAAAUGCGUAGAUAUCGAGAGGAACACCAGUGGCGAAGGCGAGUCCCUGGACAACACCUGACACUGAGGCACGAAAGCCGGGGGAGCAAACAGG